GGUAUCCUGUGUUGCUUACCCCCGGAAAGGAAUUUGAUGGAUUUGGUGUCCCCUUCCGCCCUGCGCCCUUCGGGGUGCGGGGUGGACGCGAGUYGGGCUCCGUGUUCCCCGCGUGUCGAGCGCGUUGACGCUCGGCCGCUGUGGCCCAUGGGGUCUCGGCCGUGCUCUCGGAUGCGGAAUGCUGUGCGUGGGAGCGGGGUCUCGGCCUCUGCUCGUCCGAGCUGCACGCGUUGUCCCUGGACGUGAACGACCGCCCUGCCCGUCUUGAUCGGCCUGCCGAGUCCCCGUCGCGGGGCUCCGGGAGGGCGGCUCAUGCGGGUCUCGGCGUCGGAGAGGNAAUGC
rnacentral:misc_RNA from 1 species